rnacentral:rRNA from 1 species
CUACGGAGGAUCCGAGCGUUAUCCGGAUUUAUUGGGUUUAAAGGGAGCGUAGGUGGAUAGUUAAGUCAGUUGUGAAAGUUUGCGGCUCAACCGUAAAAUUGCAGUUGAUACUGGCUGUCUUGAGUACAGUAGAGGUGGGCGGAAUUCGUGGUGUAGCGGUGAAAUGCUUAGAUAUCACGAAGAACUCCGAUUGCGAAGGCAGCUCACUGGACUGCAACUGACACUGAUGCUCGAAAGUGUGGGUAUCAAACAGGAUUAGAUACCCUGGUAGUCCACACAGUAAACGAUGAAUACUCGCUGUUUGCGAUAUACAGUAAGCGGCCAAGCGAAAGCAUUAAGUAUUCCACCUGGGGAGUACGCCGGCAACGGUGAAACUCAAAGGAAUUGACGGGG